GGCUCAGAGCGAACGCUGGCGGCGUGCUUAACACAUGCAAGUCGGGCGCGAAAGAGGCUUUCGGGUCUUGAGUAGCGCGGCGAACGGGUGCGUAAGACGCGGGUGACCUAUCCGUGAGGCGGGGAUAACCCUUCGAAAGGGGGGCUAAUACCGGAUGAGCCCACAGGCAGAGAUGCCAGGGGGCAAAGGAUGCUACUUGAUAGUGGCAUGUCUUCAGGGAGGGGCCCACGGCCUAUCAGCUAGUUGGUGUGGUAAAGGCGCACCAAGGCGAAGACGGGUAGCUGGUCUGAGAGGAUGGCCAGCCACACGGGGACUGAGACACGGCCCCGACUCCUACGGGAGGCAGCAGUGGGGAAUAUUGGGCAAUGGGCGCAAGCCUGACCCAGCGACGCCGCGUGGGUGAUGAAGGCCUUCGGGUCGUAAAGCCCUGUCGGGUGGAAAGAACGGUGAGGAGGCGAAUAGCUUCUUCAUGUGACGGUACCACCGAAGGAAGCACCGGCCAAUUCCGUGCCAGCAGCCGCGGUAAGACGGAAGGUGCAAGCGUUGCUCGGAAUCAUUGGGCGUAAAGGGUGCGUAGGCGGCUUGGGAAGUCUGGUGUGAAAGCCCCGGGCUCAGCCCGGGAAGGGCACUAGAAACUGCCAAGCUGGAGUGCCGGAGGGGAGAGUGGAAUUCCUGGUGUAGCGGUGAAAUGCGUAGAGAUCAGGAGGAAUACCGGUGGCGAAAGCGACUCUCUGGACGGCAACUGACGCUGAGGCACGAAAGCGUGGGGAGCAAACAGGAUUAGAUACCCUGGUAGUCCACGCCGUAAACGAUGGGCACUAGGUGUCGGGGGUAACCACUCCCUCGGUGCCGCCGCUAACGCAUUAAGUGUCCCGCCUGGGGAAUACGGUCGCAAGAUUUAAACUCAAAG
rnacentral:rRNA from 1 species